CCUACGGGAGGCAGCAGUGGGGAAUAUUGGGCAAUGGGCGCAAGCCUGACCCAGCAAUGCCGCGUGAAGGAAGAAGGAUUUCGGGUUGUAAACUUCUUUGACAGGGGAAGAGCAGAAGACGGUACGCUGAAAACAAGCCACGUCUAACUACGUGCAAGCAGCCGCGGGAAUACGUAGGUGGCAAGCGUUGUCCGGAUUUUCUGGGUGUCAAGGGCGUGUAGCCGGGAAGGCAAGUCAGAUGUGAAAUCCGGGGGCUCAACCUCCGAAUUGCAUUUGAAACUGUUUUUCUGGAGUAAUGGAGAGGCAGACGGAAUUCCUGGUGUAGCGGUGAAAUGCGUAGAUAUAAGGAGGAACACCAGUGGCGAAGGCGGUCUGCUGGACAGCAACUGACGGUGAGGCGCGAAAGCGUGGGGAGCAAACAGGAUUAGAUACCCUUGUAGUC
rnacentral:rRNA from 1 species